rnacentral:rRNA from 1 species
UACGUAGGCAGCGAGCGUUGUUCGGAGUUACUGGGCGUAAAGGGUGUGUAGGCGGUUGUUUAAGUUUGGUGUGAAAUCGCCCGGCUCAACUGGGAGGGUGCGCCGAAUACUGAAUGACUAGAGUGCGGGAGAGGAAAGUGGAAUUCCUGGUGUAGCGGUGAAAUGCGUAGAUAUCAGGAGGAACACCGGUGGUGUAGACGGCUUUCUGGACCGUAACUGACGCUGAGACACGAAAGCUAGGGGGAGCAAACAGG